rnacentral:lncRNA from 1 species
GCUCAAAAUAUGCCACAGAACACAAAGAAGAGCACAGGUCUUCCUACAUUAAAUAAGCUCAACCGGUUCGAAGCGCCAAUUACUGUAUACAUUCACAAAAACGAUUCGCAACGGGAAGCUCCAAUACGUUGCGUUCUUGUGGGCCGGGAUCGUAUCAGUAUGAUACGAGUCUUGCAAGUAGUCGGGCAGCGCCUGAAACUGGAAGCGAGCUACGUAAGAAAGUUGUGCUUCCCAGAAGGCAAUCCCGUGCUUGACGUGGAAGACCUAAAGCACGGCGGACAUUACGUGGCGUUGCUGCCUCACGAGUCGUUCAAGAAGCCUACUUCAAAGAUACCGAAUAAUUACAUGUAUGACCAAAAUAAGCUUGCAGUUUUGCUGUAGUAAUUUGUCCAACGCGAGACAUCUGUC